GAUGACUUUGUUUUCACACGGAUCCAGCUUUCCCCUUCCUUCUCUCUCAUCUCUCUCACAACUCACAUCCUCUGCUUUCUCUCUCUAUGGCGAUUGGGCGACUUCAUCAGGCCUCUCUCUCGGAUCUCGCCAGAUCUCUCACCAGAUCUGUGAGGAUUUCACCAGAUCGAUGAAGGUAACCUCCUUUUCUCUCUCUCUCUCUCUCUCAAAUUCAUAAACAACCUCGGGGUGCUGUACAAUCGAUUUUAGGGUUUGCCAUUUCAUAAACAACCGCGGGGUGCUGUACCACUUGAUGUGCGAGAUUGAAGGCAACCACCUCACUGCUGCCGCUAUUAUCGGUCAUGACGGCACCGUUUGGGCUCAAUCCGCUAAUUUCCCUCAGUAAGCAGUUUUGAGGGUGUUUGGAUUGGAGCUAUGGU